rnacentral:tRNA from 2 species
UAGAACAAUGGAUCAAUUCAGUGGAUUGUGAAUCCACCAUGCGCGGGUUCAAUUCCCGU